AGUGAACGCUGGCGGCGUGCCUAAUACAUGCAAGUCGAACGGAGGGGCGCACGGGUGAGUAAUAUAUAGCUAAUCUGCCCCUUGCUGGAGGACAACAGUUAGAAAUGACUGCUAAUACUCCAUAGAAAGGGAUUAGACGAGCUCGUAUCAGCUAGUCGGUGGGGUAACGGCCUACCGAGGCUAUGACGCGGAACUGGGCGGAGAGGAUGAUCAGUCACAUUGGAACGGAGACACGGUCCAAACUCCUACGGGAGGCAGCAGUAGGGAAUAUUGCGCAAUGGGUGAAACACUGACGCAGCAACGCCGCGUGGAGGAUGACACUUUUCGGAGCGUAAACUCCUUUUGUUAGGGAAGCGGUACCUAACGAAUAAGCACCGGCUAACUCCGUGCCAGCAGCCGCGGUAAUAC
rnacentral:rRNA from 1 species